UAGGGAAUCUUCGGCAAUGGACGAAAGUCUGACCGAGCAACGCCGCGUGAGUGAAGAAGGGUUUCGGAUCGUAAAACUCUGUUGUUAGAGAAGAACAAGGACGUUAGUAACUGAACGUCCCCUGACGGUAUCUAACCAGAAAGCCACGGCUAACUACGUGCCAGCAGCCGCGGUAAUACGUAGGUGGCAAGCGUUGUCCGGAUUUAUUGGGCGUAAAGCGAGCGCAGGCGGUUUCUUAAGUCUGAUGUGAAAGCCCCCGGCUCAACCGGGGAGGGUCAUUGGAAACUGUGAGACUUGAGUGCAGAAGAGGAGAGUGGAAUUCCAUGUGUAGCGGUGAACUGCGUAGAUAUAUGGAGGAACACCAGUGGCGAAGGCGGCUCUCUGGUCUGUAACUGACGCUGAGGCUCGAAAGCGUGGGGAGCAAACAGG
rnacentral:rRNA from 1 species